rnacentral:rRNA from 1 species
CCUACGGGAGGCAGCAGUGAGGAAUAUUGGGCAAUGGGCGAACGCCUGAACCAGCCAAGUCGCGUGAGGGAAGACGGCCCUAUGGGUUGUAAACCUCUUUUGUCAGGGAGCAACGCCGGCUACGUGUAGCCGGACGGAGAGGACCUGAAGAAAAAGCAGCGUCCAACUCCGUGCCAGCAGCCGCGGUAAUCCGGAGGAUGCGAGCGUUAGCGGGAUUGAUUGGGUUGAAAGGGUGCGUAGGCGGACUGCCAAGUCAGCGGUAAAAUCGCGGGGCUCAACCUCGCCCCGCCGUUGAAACUGGCGUUCUUGAGUGGGCGAGAAGUAUGCGGAAUGCGUGGUGUAGCGGUGAAAUGCGUAGAUAUCACGCAGAACUCCGAUUGCGAAGGCAGCAUACCGGCGCCCAACUGACGCUGAGGCACGAAAGCGUGGGUAUCGAACAGGAUUAGAUACCCCUGUAGUC